rnacentral:rRNA from 1 species
ACUUNCAUGCGAGCAAUCGUGAUAAGGAAACCCUGAGUGCCUGUCGAUGCAGGCUGUUCAUAUAUCUAAAUCAUAUGUGAAGAAAGGGCAGGGCAAGACCGGUGCCAGCCGCCGCGGUAAA